AAAAAAUUAGUUUAUAAAAACAUUCAUUUGUCAAAUGAAAAAGAUUAAUUUAAUAUUUUUUA
rnacentral:tRNA from 1 species